AUCAACGCUGGCGGCGUGCCUAAUGCAUGCAAGUCGGACGGGCUCGCUUUCGGGCGGGUCACGUGGCGGACGGGUGAGGAACGCGUGGGGAACCUGCCCUGGGGUGGGGGGUAGCCAUCGGAAACGGUGGGUAAGUCCGCAUGUGCUCGCCUGGCAGUAGGCUGGGUGAGGAAAGCAUCGGAAGGUGCGCCCCAGGAGGGCUCUGCGGCCGAUUAGCUGGUUGGCGGGGUAACGGCCCACCAAGGCGGUGAUCGGUAGCUGGUCUGAGAGGACGGCCAGCCACACGGGGACUGAGACACGGCCCCGACUCCUACGGGAGGCAGCAGCAAGGAAUUUUCCCCAAUGGGCGCAAGCCUGAGGGAGCAACGCCGCGUGGGGGAGGACGCUUUUCGGAGUGUAAACCCCUUUUCUCGGGGACGAAGGACGUGACGGUACCCGAGGAAGAAGGCCCGGCUAACUACGU
rnacentral:rRNA from 1 species